CAAUAGCGUAUAUUAAAGUUGUUGCAGUUAAAAAGCUCGUAGUUGAAUUUUUGCUUGCCGCCGAUGUCGGAACUUCCGUACGUUCGGCGGCGUGCAUCCUUGGGUGGAACCUGUGUGGCAUUAGGUUGUCGUGCAGGGGAUGCUCAUCGUUUACUGUGAAAAAAUUAGAGUGUUCAAAGCAGGCUUACGCCGUUGAAUAUAUUAGCAUGGAAUAAUAAGAUAGGACCUUGGUACUAUUUUGUUGGUUUGCGCACCGAGGUAAUGAUUAACAGGGACAGUUGGGGGUAUUCGUAUUCCAUUGUCAGAGGUGAAAUUCUUGGAUUUCUGGAAGACGAACUACUGCGAAAGCAUUUACCAAGGAUGUUCUCAUUA
rnacentral:rRNA from 1 species